rnacentral:tRNA from 1 species
GGCGUUAGCUCAGUCGGUUAGAGCAUCGGACUCAUAAUCCGCCGGUCCACGGUACAGUCUCAUUUCUUGAUGCUCGCUGGCCGCCA